GUGACCCUGUUCUUUGCAUUGUAUGACUGAAAUGUCUCAGUUCCUGCACAGUUGCCUAAAGUUCAUUUCAGGCUGAGUUUGUGGCUGUAUGGUGUGCAUUAUUCCACUCUCUUUUGUGAAUUUUUGGGGUACUUUUUCUCUAAGGCAACUGCUUAUAUUUUCUAUUUUGAGAGAUCUUGUAAGUUUACCUAUCCUUGGGUUACAGAAAAAGCUGCUUCUGAUCAUCUGUGUACAGAUCAAGUGCAGGAAAAGGGCAUCCAAAAGACCAAGGACGUGUAAGAUUCAAAGGUCAUUAAGGGCACCCAUGUCAGAAGUUGCUUGGACUCCAAGAUCUUGCUAAAGGUGUUCCAAUAUCCAAGAAACAGCUCCCAUCCAAAGGCAGAAACACCACCAAAUUUUUGAUGUGGUUUACUACUCUUU